rnacentral:lncRNA from 1 species
UGAUGUUCAGAAAUGUUAGGGUUUUUAUUUUCCAAACAUUAUUUUAAAAGAACAUUAAAAGCAUCAGAAAUACAAAUCUGGCCUAAAGGUUAACAUCAGAACAAUUAUAAAAUGUUUGAAAUACAUCACAUACUUUGCAUCACAGUAAAGCAUCAAGAGAACUAAUUAAUAUACCCUGCUAAUAAUUAGUCAUAUUCAACUGAAUUCUCAUUAUUUUUAGUUCUCAGUUUAGCCCUUAUAGAGAAGUUAUAUGUACCUAUCCAUAACUCCCUCUAUGGAUAGACAUAUAUAACUUAUGAAGAGAUAAGUUACAUUUAUCUCCGUAUCUCCACAUAGAUGUAGAGAUAGAUGUGGAGGAGGGCUAAGAAUCUAGCCCAACAUGUAUUUCAUGCAAUAAAUCAGUAAUUUCUCGAUGAGCACAAAGAGACUGAGUACCUCAUAUGCGCAUGCUUCCUUUUCUUUAUACUGUAACUUUUACCUCCCAAAGAUGGAUCGGGUCGUCUCUAACUCAAAAAGUCGUACAAGAAACCUGUCAGCUUAAGUUUUACGAGUAAAAAUUACUUUUAAAAAAUCUUUUAUUGAAUCACACUGGAAAUGCCUAGCCAAAAACGAGAAACACACCUUAAAAAGUAGGAAGUAUCCUCUUGCUUAAUCUUAGUAAUUAUAAAGCUGUUUGGCUUAUUGGAAUAAAGAGCCAGCUCUAAAUUUUGACAAAAGUCUAACUCCUAAUUAGAAUUAUCUUCAAACGAUCUUGGGAGAGGAUAUUAGAUUUCUUAGUUCUUUGUUAAAAAGGGGUAAUAUACUAACCUAUCUCGUGGGAGUGGUAAUAAAUGAAAACAGUGUCGUAUUAAAAAUAUAAAAGCAUAAUUGAAAUAGGUUAUAGGGACUUCCAAAAAUAGCAUCCAAUUACAAACAAGAAAAAAUGUGACAGAGGGGGUGUUUUCUCUUCUGCUAUAAAAUUUAAUAGCAAAAAUAAAGGAAGAAAAGGAGAGAAGGAAGGGAAGGAAAAAUUCCUAAAAGGUGAAUUUAAAAAGAAAAGAAAAGCCAUAUCUCAUAGGAAACCUAGAAACAAAACGGCGGGUCAGUGCUGGAAGGGGGGUGUUGGGCGAGGCUGUGCAGAGCUCCCGCUGCCUUCUCCACACCUGGGGGCACCCUUGUACGGGGGAACAGCCUGGAGAGGGCGCCGUGCGUUGCAUACCUUUCUUCCAGAACAACACGGUUCCUUCCAACCUGCAGUAACAGUUCUCCAAUACGACCAUUCCUAAAGACAGGUUUGGGAUCUCGAUGCCCAUCUUGAGCCUAACAGCUGUAGUUCCAGAGCCGUGGCAAGUUCAAAAGCUAACUGUAUAAUGAAAAUAUUUUUACAUAAAAAUAUGAAUUUACGGUUGUUAUGCUAGGAAUCACAGAGUUCAUCAUAAAAUUAGUUCCAGGUAAAGAAAUCCUUCUAGUUUUCCUUAUUGCCCAUUACCAAGACUAAUGGGAGAGAAAUCACACAAUUAUUUUGAAAGCAUCACCUUAAAAAGUUUUUUUUUUUACCUUAGUGAUAUUUAAACAAAGACCAAAAAAUCAUUUUUAAAUAGUUACUUGGAAACUCUUUGUCAGGUUGUUAACGAGCCAUCCUCGCACAGAAGCGACGCGUAGAUGGAAAUCCUCUCGAUCUCAUUCUUAACACCUUCUUAGGCAAUAAUGAAGAUCAUGUGACACGCAACAGCAGUCCCGACUGUGACCCAUGUCACCAGGCCCUGGCGCAGAGGCCCCGGUUAGUGCCUCUGCUCCCAGAAAUCACAUUCCUCCACUACAGGAACAGUCCUCUCGACUAGGAUCCUUGGGUAAGCUCAUUCCAAAAUAGAAUAAUUCAUUUUUAGCAAGCAGAAACAUACUUCUUUAAAAAAACAAACAAACAAACAAAAAAACUAUACAGCUAGUUGAUUCACACAAAAGAAUGAUGUCUCUAAUAAGAAAUGGGAGUAAUCAGGGAUCCCUGGGUGGCGCAGCGGUUUAGUGCCUGCCUUUGGCCCAGGGCGCGAUCCUGGAGACCCGGGAUCGAAUCCCACGUCGGGCUCCCGGUGCAUGGAGCCUGCUUCUCCCUCUGCCUGUGUCUCUGCCUCUCUCUCUCUCUCUCUCUCUCUCUCUCUGUGACUAUCAUAAAUAAAAAAAAUAAUAAAAAAAAAAGGAAUGGGAGUAAUCAUAAUACUUGGUGGACUGUCUGCCGAAAGCAAAGUACCUGUGUCUUGGGUCAAGGGUAACCACAGAGAAAACAUUUCUGAUUUUCUGCUUUGACAACACGGCAUGUAUUCAAGUAAACCCGCUACCAAAAAGACUCUCGUAUUGGAACAACAAUACCCUUCCCACACUUCAGAGGGUCAAAAUUCAGAGUUCGAUUCAUUAAAAAAAAAAAAAAAAAAUCCGUCUCGGUGAAGAUCAUACCUUCACACGGUUUAAAAAAAAAAAAAAAAAAAAAUCCAGCUC